rnacentral:rRNA from 1 species
UACGUAGGGGGCAAGCGUUGUCCGGAUUUAUUGGGCGUAAAGAGCGUGUAGGCGGCCAUUCAGGUCAGCUGUGAAAACUCGAGGCUCAACCUCGAGACGUCGGUUGAAACCGUUUGGCUAGAGUCCGGAAGAGGAGAGUGGAAUUCCCGGUGUAGCGGUGAAAUGCGCAGAUAUCAGGAGGAACACCGGUGGCGAAGGCGGGUCUCUGGGAAGUAACUGACGCUGAGAAGCGAAAGCAUGGGUAGCAAACAGG